rnacentral:snoRNA from 1 species
GAGUGCUGAGGUGCAAGUAGAAAAAAAAUGUUUGCAUUUUAAUGAUGGUUUCUACACUUGAACUGAGCUCA